UGCAGUCGAACGAUGAACCACCUUCGGGUGGGGAUUAGUGGCGAACGGGUGAGUAACACGUGGGCAAUCUGCCCUGCACUCUGGGACAAGCCCUGGAAACGGGGUCUAAUACCGGAUACUGACCCUCGCAGGCAUCUGCGAGGUUCGAAAGCUCCGGCGGUGCAGGAUGAGCCCGCGGCCUAUCAGCUAGUUGGUGAGGUAAUGGCUCACCAAGGCGACGACGGGUAGCCGGCCUGAGAGGGCGACCGGCCACACUGGGACUGAGACACGGCCCAGACUCCUACGGGAGGCAGCAGUGGGGAAUAUUGCACAAUGGGCGAAAGCCUGAUGCAGCGACGCCGCGUGAGGGAUGACGGCCUUCGGGUUGUAAACCUCUUUCAGCAGGGAAGAAGCGAAAGUGACGGUACCUGCAGAAGAAGCGCCGGCUAACUACGUGCCAGCAGCCGCGGUAAUACGUAGGGCGCAAGCGUUGUCCGGAAUUAUUGGGCGUAAAGAGCUCGUAGGCGGCUUGUCACGUCGGUUGUGAAAGCCCGGGGCUUAACCCCGGGUCUGCAGUCGAUACGGGCAGGCUAGAGUUCGGUAGGGGAGAUCGGAAUUCCUGGUGUAGCGGUGAAAUGCGCAGAUAUCAGGAGGAACACCGGUGGCGAAGGCGGAUCUCUGGGCCGAUACUGACGCUGAGGAGCGAAAGCGUGGGGAGCGAACAGGAUUAGAUA
rnacentral:rRNA from 1 species